ACAGAGGUGGCGAGCGUUGUUCGGAUUUACUGGGCGUAAAGGGCGCGUAGGCCGCUUUGCGUGUCGGGUGUGAAAUCUCCGGGCCUAACCCGGAAAGUGCGCCCGAAACUGCAAGGCUAGAGUGCGGGAGGGGAGAUCGGAAUACAGGGUGUAGCGGUGAAAUGCGUUGAUAUCCUGUAGAACACCGGUGGCGAAGGCGGAUCUCUGGAACGCAACUGACGCUGAGGCGCGAAAGCAGGGGGAGCAAACAG
rnacentral:rRNA from 1 species